rnacentral:rRNA from 1 species
AGCGUUGUUCGGAAUUACGGGGCGUAAAGCGCGCGUAGGCGGACCUGCAAGUCGGGGGUGAAAGCCCGAGGCUCAACCUCGGAACUGCCUUCGAUACUGCGGGUCUCGAGUCCGGGAGAGGUGAGUGGAAUUCCUAGUGUAGAGGUGAAAUUCGUAGAUAUUAGGAAGAACACCAGUGGCGAAGGCGGCUCACUGGCCCGGUACUGACGCUGAGGCGCGAAAGCGUGGGGAGCAAACAGG